rnacentral:rRNA from 1 species
UUAGGAAUUUUGCGCAAUGGACGAAAGUCUGACGCAGCAACUCCGCGUGAGUGAUGAAGGCCUUCGGGUUGUAAAGCUCUUUUAGUUGGGACGAAGAAAAUGACGGUACCAACAGAAACAGCACCGGCUAACCCUGUGCCAGCAGCCGCGGUAAUACAGGGGGUGCAAGCGUUAUUCGGAAUUAUUGGGCGUAAAGAGCGUGUAGGCGGUUCAGCAAGUUUGGUGUGAAAGCCCCGGGCUUAAUCCGGGAAGUGCAUUGAAUACUGCUAAACUAGAGUAUAGGAGAGGAUGGCGGAAUUCCUGGUGUAGAGGUGAAAUUCGUAGAUAUCAGGAGGAACAACAGAGGCGAAGGCGGCCAUCUGGACUAUUACUGACGCUAAGGCGCGAAAGUGUGGGGAGCAAACAG